rnacentral:lncRNA from 1 species
AUUUCCUUGACGAUUAGUCCUUUUGCCCCUAUCUGAUUUGGGACAUUUCAUUAGUUUCUAACAUCCGUUUUUCGUGCUAGCAUGGGUUGGGCAGUUUGACCAGACCUGGUAAGGACUGGCCGCAUGAGGCUCCAACGUGGCGGUAGCAGUAUAUAUAUCCACGUGCUAGGGUGGAUCGAAGAGGCGCAUUUUUCAAUGAAAUUCGAUUUUUGGUACAGAUGUAAACUUGACAUUUGGCUCUUCAAACAAGGCUUAAGAAAAUAACUGGUACUGACUUUUGAGAUAGGACGAAAUUUGUUAUCAAAUACCUGAUAUUGGUGUGGUUGCUACAUCAAGGGGGCACUCCAGCUUUGCUAACAGUGCAAAAGUGAGCAGCUGAAUUCCAGAGGGGAGGCAAGAGUCUCAGAUUACCCAAGGGCCAGAUGUCCCACAACUGCCCCAACCCUGGGUUCUCAUUCCUAAGUUUUUCAAUAUGUAUCUCCAUGCAGGAAUUGCUAGAUGUAUUUAUUGCAAAGAGUUUCUUUCUCUAAUGCUUUACAUAGUUUAACCCUACAUAAGUUAAUGUGUGAGUAACUAAACAGGAAUUUUGAGAGAAGUGUAUGUAAAAUUAGUUUAGUAUACAUCAUGGCUAUGGGGAUCCAUAAAUAGAAAAAGAAUGGUCAAGAACCACUAGGAUUGGAUGCUAGACUAGAGUAUUGAAUUUAAUUCAACAACACAAAUGCUGGUCCCAGUAUGUUGCUGACCACUAAACUCUUACCCUAUAGUGUAAUCCUUAAGUUGAAUAAUCCACAUUGACUGCAGCUUGUAUUCUGUUGCGUAAACCUGUUAACACACUCAUAUUCUCUGCAGUAAAAUUUAGUUGUCUUCAUUAAAAGCCUGGUCCGGUUUAUAGCUAAUAAAAAUCAAGAGACUCCAUAUGUCUAUUUGUAAGAGCUGGUCUUUUGGAGCAUGCUUGUCCAUACCGUCUCAACUUUCACCUAGGCAUUGUUAGUUUAAGUAUCCUAGCAUCUGCUCUGCUCUCACACAUCCUGAGUUUUAGAGGUUACUAAAAUUAGAGCCAUUUGGAAUAAGGACUUCUCCCUCAGGCAGAUUGUAUGAAGCCUGUGUGUGUGGACAGAUAUACUACAUGGCAGUGAAACAGAUUAACUGCAGAGGACAUGUGAAGGCUUGAAAUGAAGCCAGCAUGUUGUGGAUGUGCUGGUAUGGCACUGAUUUGUAUGAAUGAAAACAGCUACAUAAUGAAGUGGUGAGAAAUAGUAUUACAUUUGACAGUAAUCUAGAUGUUUACGGAUUAGCAAAGUAUAGAACCAACAGGGAGACUAGUUGCUUGACUUGCUAAAAAUAGCUACAUCAACCCCUUUCAAAAUAGAUUUGAGUUUUUUUUAUUGCAUAGGAAAAAUGAGAUGUGAUGGACCAUUGUUGGCAUCAUGUUGACCAUAAGGUUCCUAAACUUUUUCAAGCUGCAACCCCUUUGACACCCCAACUAACCAUAACAAACACACCUCUCUCAAGCAAAUUCAAAGCAAUUGUAUUUCACAAAUAAAACUUAACCUAAUAAA